GUUUUAAUAAUUUAAAUUUAAAAUAUUGAUUUUGUAAUUCAAAAAUAUGAUAUCAUUUAAAACU
rnacentral:tRNA from 1 species